rnacentral:rRNA from 1 species
UCAGGAUGAACGCUAGCGGCAGGCUUAACACAUGCAAGUCGAGGGGCAUCGGGAGUAGCAAUACUUGCCGGCGACCGGCGCAAGGGUGCGUAACGCGUGAGCAACAUGCCCGUAUCAGGGGGAUAAUCCAUGGAAACGUGGUCUAAUACCCCAUAGUAAUUAUGUAAGGCAUCUUAUAUAAUUUAAAGCUUUGGUGGAUACGGAUUGGCUCGCGUGACAUUAGCUAGAUGGUAAGGUAACGGCUUACCAUGGCUACGAUGUCUAGGGGUUCUGAGAGGAAGGUCCCCCCACACUGGAACUGAGACACGGUCCAGACUCCUACGGGAGGCAGCAGUGAGGAAUAUUGGACAAUGGAUGGAAAUCUGAUCCAGCCAUGCCGCGCGCAGGAAAGACGGCCCUAUGGGUUGUAAACUGCUUUUGUAUGGGAGCAAUAAGGGCUACGCGUAGUCCGAUGAGAGUACCAUACGAAUAAGCACCGGCUAACUCCGUGCCAGCAGCGGC